GAUGAACGCUGGCGGCGUGCUUAACACAUGCAAGUCGAACGGAAAGGCCCUGCUUUUGUGGGGUGCUCGAGUGGCGAACGGGUGAGUAACACGUGAGUAACCUGCCCUUGACUUUGGGAUAACUUCAGGAAACUGGGGCUAAUACCGGAUAGGAGCUCCUGCUGCAUGGUGGGGGUUGGAAAGUUUCGGCGGCUGGGGAUGGACUCGCGGCUUAUCAGCUUGUUGGUGGGGUAGUGGCUUACCAAGGCUUUGACGGGUAGCCGGCCUGAGAGGGUGACCGGCCACAUUGGGACUGAGAUACGGCCCAGACUCCUACGGGAGGCAGCAGUGGGGAAUAUUGCACAAUGGGCGGAAGCCUGAUGCAGCAACGCCGCGUGCGGGAUGACGGCCUUCGGGUUGUAAACCGCUUUCGCCUGUGACGAAGCGUGAGUGACGGUAAUGGGUAAAGAAGCACCGGCUAACUACGUG
rnacentral:rRNA from 1 species